rnacentral:rRNA from 1 species
AACGAACGCUGGCGGCAGGCGUAACACAUGCAAGUCGAACGCCCCGCAAGGGGAGUGGCAGACGGGUGAGUAACGCGUGGGAACGUGCCCUUCGCUUCGGAAUAGCCCCGGGAAACUGGGAGUAAUACCGAAUACGCCGUAUUGGGAAAGAUUUAUCGGCGAAGGAUCGGCCCGCGUUAGAUUAGCUAGUUGGCGGUGUAAUGGACCACCAAGGCUACGAUCUAUAGCUGGUCUGAGAGGAUGAUCAGCCACACUGGGACUGAGACACGGCCCAGACUCCUACGGGAGGCAGCAGUGGGGAAUCUUGGACAAUGGGCGCAAGCCCGAUCCAGCCAUGCCGCGUGAGUGAAGAAGGCCUUAGGGUUGUAAAACUCUUUCGCCGGAGAAGAUAAUGACGGUAUCCGGAGAAGAAGCCCCGGCUAACUUCGUGCCAGCCGCCGCAGUAAAAC